AGUGAACGCUGGCGGUAGGCCUAACACAUGCAAGUCGAACGGCAGCACAGUAAGAGCUUGCUCUUACGGGUGGCGAGUGGCGGACGGGUGAGGAAUACAUCGGAAUCUACUUUUUCGUGGGGGAUAACGUAGGGAAACUUACGCUAAUACCGCAUACGACCUACGGGUGAAAGCAGGGGAUCUUCGGACCUUGCGCGAUUGAAUGAGCCGAUGUCGGAUUAGCUAGUUGGCGGGGUAAAGGCCCACCAAGGCGACGAUCCGUAGCUGGUCUGAGAGGAUGAUCAGCCACACUGGAACUGAGACACGGUCCAGACUCCUACGGGAGGCAGCAGUGGGGAAUAUUGGACAAUGGGCGCAAGCCUUAUCCAGCCAUACCGCGUGGGUGAAGAAGGCCUUCGGGUUGUAAAGCCCUUUUGUUGGGAAAGAAAAGCAGCAGGUUAAUACCCCGCUGUUCUGACGGUACCCAAAGAAUAAGCAUCGGCUAACUUCGUG
rnacentral:rRNA from 1 species